rnacentral:lncRNA from 7 species
GGGGCCAUGAGUAUAAGAACGGGCCCCGUACCCCCCCUCCUUCGAUCACUAGCCUUGGAUCAGGUGGGCGUCGAGAUGUACGGAGAGAGCACGCCAUCGAGUAGAACCAUCGCUGUAGGGCGUAGAUUGUGGGAGAGGAGGACGCCACUGCAAUACUUCUCCUCUGCCCUUGAACUGGAGUCAAAUGGCGUUCAAGAGUGUUCGACCGGACUUGGGUUCGUUGGCUUCGGAGUUUCCCCAAAUAUGGACCACCGGACAACUCGGAAUUUCUCUCCGGUGGAUUUCUUGUUAGUUGGUUAUUUUCCCUCCGUGCCACGGCUGGGAUAUCCCUGUGUUCAUUCUGGCGCGAGGUUUCGAGGAUCUG